GCGCUCACUUCAGCAGCACAUACACUAAAACUGGAACAAUGCAGAGAAGAUUAGCAUGACCCCUUUGCAAGGAUGACGUGCAAACUGACGAAUUGUUUCAUAUUUUC